rnacentral:lncRNA from 1 species
AAAAUUUAGUUCCUUGGUCAUAUGCAAAAGUAUAAGUUCGGGGUUACUCUUGGAAGUGAGCAAAGUUUAAGUUUGGGGUUGGUGUGCCAGAGAUUUUGGUCAAAAAUUCAAAAAUAAAAAUGAGAAAAAUCAAGAAGUCCAAGCAAUUUCUUCAAAAAAAAAAUGAGAAAAACAAUGUUUAGGACCAUAAAAUGUUAACCUCUUGUACCAAAGUAAUUAAGCAAAUUGAUAUGAAAAGGAAUAUGAUAAAAUAAGGAAAACUAGGUACCUAACUCCAAAUAUUUAAGCCUAUUAUCC